rnacentral:rRNA from 1 species
CCUACGGGAGGCUGCAGUAAGGAAUAUUGGACAAUGGGCGCAAGCCUGAUCCAGCCAUGCCGCGUGCAGGAUGACGGCCCUAUGGGUUGUAAACUGCUUUUAUACGGGAAAAAACCCCUCUACGUGUAGAGGGCUGAUGGUACCGUAAGAAUAAGGAUCGGCUAACUCCGUGCCAGCAGCCGCGGUAAUACGGAGGAUCCGAGCGUUAUGCGGAUAUAUGGGGCGUAAAGGGUGUGGAAAGGGAUUGGUAAAAUCCUGCAGCUUAACUGUAGAACUGCCAUUGAUACUGCAAGUCUUGAGUACAUAUGAUGUGGGCGGAAUGUGUAGUGUAGCGGUGAAAUGCUUAGAUAUUACACAGAACACCAAUUGCGAAGGCAGCUCACAAAACUGUAACUGACGCUGAGGCACGAAAGCGUGGGGAGUGAACAGGAUUAGAUACCCCGGUAGUC